UACGGGGGGAGCGAACGUUGUUCGGAAUUACUGGGCGUAAAGGGCGUGCAGGCGGCCUCGUAAGAGGAAUGUGAAACCCCCUGGCUCAACCAGGGAACUGCAUUCCAGACUGCAAGGCUUGAGUACAGGAGAGGAUGGGGGAAUUCCCGGUGUAGCGGUGGAAUGCAUUGAUAUCGGGAGGAACACCAGUGGCGAAGGCGCCCAUCUGGCCUGAUACUGACGCUCAGGCGCGAAAGCUAGGGGAGCAAACAGG
rnacentral:rRNA from 1 species